rnacentral:lncRNA from 1 species
GACCGACGUUUAUCAACCCGGUCGGACGAUUCUGGCUCAACUAGACCGGUCUGGAAUGAGCGUUUCACCCUUCCCCUUGUUGUUCCUCCACACGAAACCGUUUUGACCCUCGAGAUCUUUCAUUCCAAACCCUCUGAAACUCCGAAGCCUUUGGUGGCUACUCUCCGGGUUGAGCUCAAGGAAUUACCCGACCCGGAUGAUGGUUCCAAGAUCCGAACCUUUUCUUUGCUUCGACCCUCGGGUCGUCCCCAAGGUAAGAUCCGGUUGAAACUUGGGAUCCGGGAACGUCCUCUUCCUCCACCUCAUGAUUACCAUUUUGCCCCUCCUUCUAGCUAUUAUUACACAAAUGCCCCUCCUCCACCAAGAUACUCUGCUCCGCCUUACGUUUCUCUUCCCCCGCCGCCUCCUCCACCGUCAUCCUCUCCUCCUCCGCCAAAUCCGCCUUACUCCUCCAUCCCCGAUGGUUACCCUCCCUACUACUCCAGCCAUUACUAUUCCUCUCCGCCACCGCCCAUGCCUCCACGUCCUUUCUUCGAACGAGCUUCCAGCUAUGGAACCCCAUCGGCGCCAGUAGAUUACUCG